GGAAUGUGGCUCAAGCAGUAGCGCUCUCGCCUGGCAUGCGCAGGGGCCUGGGUUCGAUCCUCAGCACCA
rnacentral:tRNA from 1 species